rnacentral:rRNA from 1 species
AUUGAACGCUGGCGGCAGGCCUAACACAUGCAAGUCGAGCGGAUGAAGGGAGCUUGCUCCUGGAUUCAGCGGCGGACGGGUGAGUAAUGCCUAGGAAUCUGCCUGGUAGUGGGGGAUAACGUCCGGAAACGGGCGCUAAUACCGCAUACGUCCUGAGGGAGAAAGUGGGGGAUCUUCGGACCUCACGCUAUCAGAUGAGCCUAGGUCGGAUUAGCUAGUUGGUGGGGUAAAGGCCUACCAAGGCGACGAUCCGUAACUGGUCUGAGAGGAUGAUCAGUCACACUGGAACUGAGACACGGUCCAGACUCCUACGGGAGGCAGCAGUGGGGAAUUUUGGACAAUGGGCGAAAGCCUGAUCCAGCCAUGCCGCGUGUGUGAAGAAGGUCUUCGGAUUGUAAAGCACUUUAAGUUGGGAGGAAGGGCAGUAAGUUAAUACCUUGCUGUUUUGACGUUACCAACAGAAUAAGCACCGGCUAACUUCAUG